rnacentral:misc_RNA from 1 species
CAAGAUAAGAAGCAAAUCAUGGAGAGUAUACUUCAAGUGGUUGAAGAGGAUGAUGAGAGGUUUCUUCUUAGGCUCAGGGAAAGAACAGAUAGGGUGGGAAUUGAGAUUCCUAAGAUUGAAGUCCGGUUCGAGCAUUUGUCUAUAGAAGGAGAUGCAUAUGUAGGAACCAGAGCUCUUCCAACCCUGGCGAAUGCUGCUAUGAACACAAUAGAGGGAAUUCUUGGAUCACUUAGAAUUGUCCCAUCUAAGAAGAGAGUUG